UGGGGAAUUUUGGACAAUGGGCGAAAGCCUGAUCCAGCAAUGCCGCGUGUGUGAAGAAGGCCUUCGGGUUGUAAAGCACUUUUGUCCGGAAAGAAAUCCUUGGCUCUAAUACAGUCGGGGGAUGACGGUACCGGAAGAAUAAGCACCGGCUAACUACGUGCCAGCAGCCGCGGUAAUACGUAGGGUGCAAGCGUUAAUCGGAAUUACUGGGCGUAAAGCGUGCGCAGGCGGUUUGCUAAGACCGAUGUGAAAUCCCCGGGCUCAACCUGGGAACUGCAUUGGUGACUGGCAGGCUAGAGUAUGGCAGAGGGGGGUAGAAUUCCACGUGUAGCAGUGAAAUGCGUAGAGAUGUGGAGGAAUACCGAUGGCGAAGGCAGCCCCCUGGGCCAAAUACUGACGCUCAUGCACGAAAGCGUGGGGAGCAAACAGGAUUAGAUACCCUGGUAGUCCACGCCCUAAAACGAUGUCAACUAGUUGUUGGGGAUUCAUUUCCUUAGUAACGUAGCUAACGCGUGAAGUUGACCGCCUGGGGAGUAACGGUCGCAAGAUUAAAACUCAAAUGAAUUGACGGGGUCAUAGCUGUUUCCU
rnacentral:rRNA from 1 species